rnacentral:rRNA from 1 species
CGCCAGACUCCUACGGGAGGCAGCAGUGGGGAAUAUUGCACAAUGGGGGGAACCCUGAUGCAGCAAUGCCGCGUGGGUGAAGAAGCACUCCGGUGCGUAAAGCCCUGUCAGCAGGGAAGAAAAUGACAGUACCUGACCAAGAAGCCCCGGCUAACUACGUGCCAGCAGCCGCGGUAAUACGUAGGGGGCAAGCGUUAUCCGGAAUCACUGGGUGUAAAGGGAGCGUAGACGGCUGAGCAAGCCUGAAGUGAAAGGCGGGGGCCCAACCCCCGGACUGCUUUGGGAACUGUACGGCUGGAGUGCAGGAGAGGUAAGUGGAAUUCCUAGUGUAGCGGUGAAAUGCGUAGAUAUUAGGAGGAACACCAGUGGCGAAGGCGGCUUACUGGACAGUGACUGACACUGAGGCUCGAAAGCGUGGGGAGCAAACAGGAUUAGAUACCCCCGUAC